UGAGUAUGAAAAGGGCUGACUCCCCAGGCCCCUUCCCGGCAUCCUCACCAUCCCCAGCCACCCCUGUCCCACUGGGCUUCAGGACAGAGGGCAGCUGACACUCGGUGAUGACCCACUUCUGCGUUCCUUGGCAGCCCGGGGAAGAUGCCAUGGUUGGCAUCCCACAGCUAGUCACAAAAAGAUUUGAUUGUUGGGAAUGCGGUAUCUGUGGUUAUAAUCUGACAUUUCAAGCUGA
ensembl:scaRNA SCARNA6 small Cajal body-specific RNA 6